CUUUCUUAUGGUUGUUGGCCAAUCUUUAGUGUGCAGUAGUGUUAUGCGGAAAACCUGUAGUGUAUCCCCGUUUUAGGAUUCUGAUGCUUAUUUUAACCCCUUACCUUUUCACUCCCAUAAAAACAGCUGAGAUCCCGAAGCCUGAUGCCAGCCUACUGCCUCUUUUGAUGAUGCCUACAGCCUUAAUUUGGAAGACCCAAGACAGUGUGCCCUUGACGAUGUUCCAUAGUGGAACCAAACAUAUUUGGAGAGCCUCAAACAUAUCUUACCAAAUCUUCCUUGUCCCUGACAACAAAUGACCAAGCUUUAUAUGAUGUGGCCCCAAGAACCUUUAGUUGGCAUACCUCCGUUGCUUUGGCUUUCAGAACUUCAUUUGUUUAGAACUUUGUUUUGAAUUUCCAGACCGUAUUGCUUCUAGUGUUUGGAGUUGACUCUUGUAUCAAAAGCACUAUGUUUUUACUCCUCUAGACCUUCCCUCGUCCUUCCAACUCCUUGCCAAGCUGGAUAAUUGUUGUGCUACUAUGGU
rnacentral:lncRNA from 1 species